GGCUGUGAGGGUGCUCUGGCUGUAACAUCUGAAACUCCAUUGAUCACCAGGGUUGAUCUGGCUGAUCUGGCUGAUCUGGCUGGCUAGGUGGGUGUCUUCUUCUUCCCUCCCUGUUCCAUGUGCAUCCCUCCUGAAGCUGUAUACUUAGAUGAAGAAGAUUACCUUUCCUGAUAGCGAAGGAGCAUUAUUUGAUCAGGGGAAUACAAGGAGCUGCACUCCCCUGCUAGAAUCUCUAACCGAGCUCUCAAGUAGUAACUGCUAUAUAAUUCUUUUUUCCUGCAGUGAGAAAGCAAUUCAAACAUAGUGCUAAAAUCUUAUUAUCCAGAUCCAUA
rnacentral:snRNA from 1 species